rnacentral:rRNA from 1 species
GACGAACGCUGGCGGCGUGCUUAACACAUGCAAGUCGAACGGUCCUGAUUAACUGAAAUUUUCGAAUGGAAGUUAUGACUGGAUAGUGGCGGACGGGUGAGUAACGCGUGGGUAAUCUGCCCUUAUGACCGGGACAACAGUUGGAAACGACUGCUAAUACCGGAUGUGCUGGUUGGUUGGCAUCAACCGAUCAGGAAAUGGAGGCCUCUAUUUAUAAGCUCCCGCAUAAGGAUGAACCCGCGUCUGAUUAGCUAGUUGGUAAGGUAACGGCUUACCAAGGCGACGAUCAGUAGCCGGCCUGAGAGGGUGGCCGGCCACACUGGGACUGAGACACGG